rnacentral:misc_RNA from 1 species
CGAGAAUAUGACUUGCAUUAAUUUCCGUACAGAAAAAACAAAUUUCAUUUAUACUCAUGACUCAAGUUGACUAAUUUUGAUUGACAGACUUGAAAGAAAAAAAUCCUUUGAAAUUUUUUGAGUCGUCUCUAAACUCUUUUCUUUGCCUCAUCUCGAACAAAUUCACUUUUAUUCCUUAUUCCGGUCCAAUUCUAUUGUUGAG